rnacentral:rRNA from 13 species
CCUCCCCGCCGGAAGACCAAGGGUUCCUGUCCAACGUUAAUCGGGGCAGGGUAAGUCGACCCCUAAGGCGAGGCUGAAAAGCGUAGUCGAUGGGAAACGGGUUAAUAUUCCCGUACUUCUUACAAUUGCGAUGGGGGGACGGAGAAGGCUAGGUGGGCCUGGCGACGGUUGUCCAGGUUCAAGUGCGUAGGCUGAGUGUUUAGGUAA